rnacentral:rRNA from 1 species
GAUCAACGCUGGCGGCGUGCAUGAGACAUGCAAGUCGAACGAAGGAUCGGGCUUGCUCGAUCCUUAGUGGCGGACGGCUGAGUAACGCGUAGGUGACCUACCCCGAAGUGGGGAAUAACUGCCCGAAAGGGUGGCUAAUACCGCAUGUGGUCGCACGUUCAUUCGUGCGACUAAAGCCGCAAGGCGCUUCGGGAGGGGCCUGCGUCCGAUUAGCUCGUUGGUGGGGUAAUGGCUUACCAAGGCGACGAUCGGUAGGUGGUCUGAGAGGACGAUCACCCAGACUGGGACUGAGACACGGCCCAGACUCCUACGGGAGGCAGCAGUCGGGAAUUUUGCUCAAUGGGGGAAACCCUGAAGCAGCAACGCCGCGUGAGGGAUGAAGGCCUUCGGGUUGUAAACCUCUUUUGUCAGGGACGAUGAUGACGGUACCUGGCGAAUAAGCCACGGCUAACUACGUG